rnacentral:lncRNA from 1 species
AUGUUCGCCGACCGUUGAUUGUUCUCUACAAACCACAAAGACAUUGGAACACUGUACCUACUAUUCGGCGCAUGAGCUGGAGUCCUGGGCACAGCUCUAAGUCUCCUUAUUUGGGCUGAGCUAGGCCAACCAGGCAACCUUCUAGGUAACGACCACAUCUACAAUGUCAUCGUCACAGCCCAUGCAUUUGUAAUAAUCUUCUUCAUAGUGAUACCUAUCAUAAUCGGAGGCUUUGGCAACUGACUAGUUCCCCUAAAAAUCGGUGCCCCCGAUAUGGCAUUCCCCCGCAUAAACAACAUAAGCUUCUGACUCCUACCCCCUUCUCUCCUACUUCUGCUUGCAUCUGCCAUAGUGGAAGCCGGCGCCGGAACAGGUUGGACAGUCUACCCUCCCUUAGCAGGGAACUACUCCCACCCUGGAGCUUCCGUAGAUCUAACCAUCUUCUCCUUGCAUCUAGCAGGCAUCUCCUCUAUCCUAGGAGCCAUUAACUUCAUUACAACAAUCAUUAAUAUAAAACCCCCUGCCAUAACCCAAUACCAAACACCCCUUUUCGUCUGAUCCGUCCUAAUCACAGCAGUCUUACUUCUCCUAUCCCUCCCAGUCCUAGCUGCUGGCAUCACCAUGCUGUUAACAGACCAUAACCUCAACACCACCUUCUUCGACCCAGCCAGGGGAGGGGACCCUAUUCUAUACCAACACCUAU